rnacentral:rRNA from 1 species
GCUCCAAUAGCGUAUAUUAAAGUUGUUGCAGUUAAAAAGCUCGUAGUUGAAUUUUGGAUCAGUCCUGCCGGUCCGCCUAACGGCUGGUACUGGCUAGGCUGAUCUCCUUUCUGGCUAUCUGGCCUGCCUUUAACCGGGUGUGUCAGAGAACCAGGACUUUUUACCUUGAAAAAAUUAGAGUGUUCAAAGCAGGCUUACGC